UACGGAGGGUGCAAGCGUUAAUCGGAAUUACUGGGCGUAAAGGGUGCGUAGGUGGUUUUUUAAGUUAGCUGUGAAAUUCCUGGGCUUAACCUGGGGUGGUCAGCUAAGACUGGAAGACUGGAGUAUGGGAGAGGGUAGUGGAAUUUCCGGUGUAGCGGUGAAAUGCGUAGAGAUCGGAAGGAACACCAGUGGCGAAGGCGGCUACCUGGCCUAAUACUGACACUGAGGCACGAAAGCGUGGGGAGCAAACAGG
rnacentral:rRNA from 1 species